AUGUCUUGGCUAAGAAAGCGGAGAAGUGACAUUUGCAGAGAAGAUGCCAUGGAAGAGAAAGGCAAACACAGACAGAGGCUCCUCCUUGAAAGAAGCUUCAACACCCGUGGAGAACCCUUGAUCUGUCACGUGCCCGUAGGCUGCAGUGAGAUUCUGCUGAUGUCUUGGGAAACCCACCUUUUCAAGAGAGUAAGACUACACAUUGCCAGAAGAAAUGUCUUCAGUUACCAUGCAGCUAACAUGUUGCACAUGUGUGAAGCGGCUUUACAUGUGCAGCUCAUUGACGCAUUAAAACUAAUCUUGUGA
rnacentral:lncRNA from 1 species